UUUUCAGCCGUUUUUUUAUCCGUCCUUUUCUGAUCGGAGAUUGACGGUCAGUGUCUUCCAUAGCACCAACGUCGAUCAUCUUUUAGUCUUAAUUUUCAUGUUUACUUCGUUUUUUAUUAUGAAUUUGUUGCAAGUUUCUUCUUCAAAGUUUUAUCGAUGAUUCUCUCAACCUUCAACCAAUCGACCAAACUACCAUCAACAAUCGUUCUUGUAGUUGGUGUUACGGUAAAGGCGGCUUCUUUUAAGCUUCCUCCAUUCUAAUCAACAUACAUAUAUGGGUGAGGUCUAUUGUUUUUUUAUUCCUUCAAACUUGAUGCAAUCGAUUUAAUAUCGCCAUCAUCGGCCCAAGCACUUUUCGGCAGUUGCAAUUCCCUCUAUAAUUUGGUUUCGUCUUGUCAUUCUUAUGUAGCUCAAGAUCUUUCAUUUUCGAAGUCUCCAAAAAAUAAGUGAAGACUAUAAAACCGAAAGUUUAGAUGAUGUCCGUUUUCGGAGAUGCAUGAAAUAGCUUCUGAUUUUAGAAAAAAUUGGUUAACUGAAGAAGAAAGAAGCAAGUGAUAAUAAUUGUAGUUUUGAUGUCAUUUGUAACCUGAUUAUUUGGAUAAUCAUUUUCUGUUAAUUAGUUUUGAUUAUUUGUCAUCUCGAGCAAUACCGGC